rnacentral:tRNA from 1 species
GCGCCCAUCGUCUAGCGGUUAGGACGCCGCCCUUUCACGGCGGAAACAGGGGUUCGAUUCCCUUGGGCGUACCA